GAUCGGACCAAAGCUGUUACUGUCACGGGCAGGGUAGAUCUGGGCUCAGCAGGGAUAUGUAUCUAACCCCCCUGAGCCCUGUGCCAGAUGGGAAGAUCCGUCAAGCCUGAUUGGAGAAAGGCAGCCACUGGGCCUCUUGGAGGGAGUUCUGUGUUAUUCUGGUACUCCCCAAAGUUAUGCUGAGUUGAAGAAGAGUGGACCAGCCAGCUGGCUUCUGGUUGACACCAGAAGAGUGAUGAGGGGGAGAGGGACAAUAAACUGAAUGCAGACUACACACAACAGAUUAGAAACAUGAAGCAGGAGGACCAGAGAGAGCUGUGUGAGUGCCUGCUCUCUGAAGGACUUUAAAUACUGGGCAACUGAGAUUUUGGAACACACUGUUGACAGCUGUUUUGGAACUACAAGUACGAUGUGUGCUACAUCUGAGGUGGAGGUAUCAGACUGUGGAAUAGGAGUGUCAGACAUACUGAUGUUGCUCUGGGUCCCUGAACUGAUUCGGGGUGACCAUUCAAAUAUGAGAACUUCAGUAUAGAUGGCAAAUUUUUCUCAAGACUUAAUGUACGGGACCAUGAGAGCAACUGAUAGAGCUAAAAAUAAGUAUAUUUUUUUCCAAUUAAAAAGGUGCACAGUGAUAUUUUAAAUGUCAAAGAAAUUAUAAUUCAGGCUUUCAUUGUAUUAUUAUACUAUGCUGAAGC